AUCGCUUCUCGGCCUUUUGGCUAAGAUCAAGUGUAGUAUCUGUUCUUAUCAGUUUAAUAUAAACAAGUUGAAGCUUGUUUCCAUGCUUAGACCUAAUUUAUUUGUUCUUUAUUUCCU
rnacentral:snRNA from 1 species